rnacentral:piRNA from 1 species
UCCCAAAUAAGUGAUAAGUGGUGAGC